rnacentral:rRNA from 1 species
UACAGAGGUCUCAAGCGUUGUUCGGAUUCAUUGGGCGUAAAGGGUGUGUAGGUGGCGCCGUAAGUCGGGUGUGAAAUUUCGGAGCUUAACUCCGAAACUGCAUUCGAUACUGGCGGUGCUUGAGGACUGGAGAGGAGACUGGAAUUCAUGGUGUAGCAGUGAAAUGCGUAGAGAUCAGUGAGACCGUGGCGAAGGCGGGCUC